rnacentral:rRNA from 1 species
GAUGAACGCUGGCGGCGUGCUUAACACAUGCAAGUCGAACGAAGCAUAACGAGCGAAGCCCUUCGGGGCGGAGCAUGUUAUGACUGAGUGGCGGACGGGUGAGUAACGCGUGGAUAACCUGCCUUAUACCGGGGGAUAACAGUUAGAAAUAGCUGCUAAUACCGCAUAAGCGCACAGUACCGCAUGGUACGGUGUGAAAAACUCCGGUGGUAUAAGAUGGAUCCGCGUCUGAUUAGCUAGUUGGUAAGGUAACGGCUUACCAAGGCGACGAUCAGUAGCCGGCUUGAGAGAGUGACCGGCCACAUUGGGACUGAGACACGGCCCAAACUCCUACGGGAGGCAGCAGUGGGGAAUAUUGCACAAUGGGCGAAAGCCUGAUGCAGCGACGCCGCGUGAAGGAGGAAGUAUUUCGGUAUGUAAACUUCUAUCAGCAAGGAAGAAAAUGACGGUACUUGACUAAGAAGCCCCGGCUAAAUACGUGCCAGCCGCCGCAGUAAAAC